CGCACAUUGCGCCCCUCGGUACUCCGGGGGGCAUGCCUGUCCGAGCGUCAUUGAAAACCAUCAAGCCUGGCUUGGUCUUGGGCGAGGUCUGGGGACCCGCCCGCAACCCGUCGGCGGUGCCGGUUCGGCCCUGAGCGUAGCAGAAAUACUCGUUCUGGGGCAGCUGCGGCGCCCGCCAGCAAGUUUUUUACACUUCUCAAGUUUGACCUCGGAUCAGGUAGGGAUACCCGCUGAACUUAA
rnacentral:misc_RNA from 1 species